CGCUCCUCAGCAGCCCCUGUCAGGACCUCCCCUCCUCAUCCUCCCCGGCCCCGCCGCCAUCUCCUGCAGCCCGCCGGCAAAUGGCGGCAGCGCCGCGGGGCCCUCGCCGUCUCCUAGCAACGCCCCCCCCUCCGCCGCCAUCUUGGAGCAGCCGCCGCUUCACUGCCCCCGGGCCAGCGGGUCCCGGGCAGGUCCAGGGGAGGUCCCGGGCAGUGCUCCGUGGCUCGGUUCUGCCGGUCCAGUCGCCGCUGGGGAUGGGGAUGGCGGCGGGGAUGGCGGUCAGCUCCUCGCCCACGCCGGCUGAAGCUGCCGCGCUACAGUUUCGCGUGGAACAAAGUGGCAGAGGACACAGAGUCGCUCUUGUUUCGAAGUCAGCUUUUACCACGAUACAGACAGGCACAGACACUUGCAGAGAAGACUCUUAAAAUUGUGCUUCUCCCAGGUGGUUUCCCACCUCCUGAACACAUCUGGAGAUCUUUGGAUGAAAGGUGCAAUCUGCUUCCAGUGCCAAACACAACGUAGGAGUUCAAGCUCCACGCAGGACACUGCAGGUACAGUAAUGUUGGUUUUGGUCUCCCCCACCUGUGUCACAGCCAUGGGAGUCAAACAGGAAUGACAGGGAAGACACCAAACCUGGAACAAAGUCCAACCACUUUAAUAUAUUUUCACAUAUAUUCUACAAACUGUUUAGUGUAUAAAAAGCAACAUUUAAAGCAUUUUGCUUUUUAUACAUGCACUUAUUAUGAGCUCAAAAUUGGGAAAUACCAGAAUUAAGGCUGCCUGUCCUACUGCCAGCCUGAUUGCCAAGCCUGAAUACCCAAACCAAACAUUUUUGCCCUUGUAAGUUUCAGAACAGCCGUUUUUUUUUACUGGUACUCUUCCCACCCUGAGUGGCUGAUGAACUCUGCUCAGCUUCCCCAAGUGCUCCUAUGAAAUUGCCCAAUGGGGAGCAAAUGUUAACACAGAAAUGGAGUGGGGGUUUUGUUAGUUUUUUUAGCAUGCCACCAUUUCAUAGCAUCAGUAUCACUGCAGUGGUCUAAUGAUGCAGAUGUCCGUGUCUCAUCUGCAGAAGGACCAAACCUUAGUCUCCAAACCAAGACAAACACCACCAGAAAAGCUUCUCUUCCUGCAGCUCUGCCUUUGUUUGCUGCCAACCUCACUGCUGUAAUGGACAGGACAGGGACACCAAGGGGACACUUUCUGGUACCUCCAGUCACUGCUCAGUACCAGUUGUCUGAUACAAAAUGUCCACGGGACAGAGCACCAGUGUGUGACAGCACUGUAACUCCCAGGCACCUGGGAAGCCUAAGCUUUAAAAGCAGUUUUAAUUCUGGCAUUUCUCAAACUUUUGAGCUCUUUGGUUCCUAGGUCUAAGCCAAGGCCAUCUGUGGCAUCCUGUGCUAGCUGCAGCGAGUUGUAAUGAGGAGACAACAGAGAGCUUUUGGGUUUGAACAGAUACUUUCCUCCAGGUCAGAGAGGUGAGCAGUGCACCUCCAGCACCUGCACCUUCAGUGCCUGCACUGUGUGGAGAUGUCCUUUGUACAAACAUGUUCCACAUGUGGUACACACUUGUGGCACCCCACCAGAGAAAGGGGCUCAGGAGGUUAAGGAUGCUCAGCUGGAGUAACUAACACUCUAUCUCUGCUGCUGCUGAGUACAACCCCUCCUCAGCCUGCCUGCUUUCAUAAAUAAGGAUCAGGAAAAUAAAAAAAAAAGGACACUACCACAUGGAUCUUUUUCUUUACAAUACUAAUCUAUACAGUGAAACAUCCAUUACUGCUCAGCAGAGUAAAAAUAUGCUACAUCAAAAUGGUACCAGAAAAAGCAGGACCCCUGUAAAGCUGGAGAAGGGUUUGCAGAUAAAAAUCAGAAUUGAGCAGCCAGCUUAAAAAAUAUGCCACUGGAAAUGUAUGAGAAAAUAAAGAGAGGGUUGUCCUGUCUCUAGAGGUUGGCAGACAUCAGAAUUGGUGCAGUUCACAGGCUCUCCUCCUCCUGUGCAGUGCUGCUGUCAGCAUCGCAGCGGGUUGUCUCACCAGCUGGGAGCUGCUCCAGUGCUCCCCUCCAGCAGGUGAAGGAAGCGUGGUGUGUUACACUCCAGGAGGAAACAAACCGCUGCCUUCCACCAAAAUCCUCCUCCCAGAGGGCUGCAGAAGCAAGGACACCCUCUGGGCACCAGCACAGGGGCUCAGCGUGCUUCACACUGCCCCGGUGAGACAGUGAACUGCAGGUCCAGGCUGGAGACAGGAAACCAAGACAUCUGUCUGCUCUCCUGGGACGUGCACACUGUUACACUGUUUGAUGGCAGGCAAACUACCGAUGAAGAUGGGCUCCAAACUAACAGCAUUCCCCAGGGAAUUAAUUUACAAAGUGCCACUGGUCCUUGGAACCAAUACAGAAUACAGUAUAUUACAGCAAACACUAGCUCUGCAGCCCGUGUCGGCCCAGCUCUGCACAAUAUGCAGAAAAGAAAUUGAAUGUUCAGACUCUUUACAGUAGCCUCCUUCCCUUUUUAGACAAAGGAAAA